CAUUUUUUGAGAAGAAGCAAAUGUCAGCAUAGAAUCCACAGAUGAUGGGAGAAGACCACCCUUUCUUCAAUUUUGUUACUCAGCCAAUUGAAGGGACAGAACUUGACAGUUUGCAAGAAACAAAAUCACUGCUUACAGUUUCUUUUGAAGACCCUCACCUGGAGUUACACACUGAUGUCAGUUCUUUGUGGAAAUAAGACCCGCUCUCAGGGCCUCAUGAUUGGAUGCUUUUUGAUACCCAAGGAUGCGGCCUGGAAGACUAGUGUGCCUUCAUGUUUCUGGGAUUUCGUGGUUCUGGGGAUGCGCUGAUUUUAGGCCGGUAACACUGACGGAGGCAUCGCGGAAGAACACAGAACAUUGGGAGUAGCCGUGGGCUGUGUGUCCAGACACCUGAGCCUCUCUGGGCUCAGAGUUCAAAAAAAGCAACACAACAGACUUUUAACAUCAUAAAAUCAGCAACUUGUUUGUUAUGUUUCCCCUCUGGCUGUGAAAUGAGGACACUUCUUUUUCCCUUAUUACGGAAAGGGAGAGCCUGUGGUAUGUCAAAUUACCAGGUGUGUGAGUAGUCUUCGGGGUACUGCAGAUCUGUGUCUUUAUUGAUGCUUUGCUGCAGGCUUCUCUGCUUGGUAGGGAGC